AAGGCUCCUGGGGCCUUGUUAAAGGGACAGCUUUGUCCCUUACUGGCUGGGUGGCCUAGAGAAAGUUGUUUAACUUCUCAGUUUCUUUAUCUGAAAAACUGAAAUGACAAUAAUCACU
rfam:Otolemur garnettii contig033146, whole genome shotgun sequence.